rnacentral:rRNA from 1 species
UACGUAGGGCCCAAGCGUUGUCCGGAAUCAUUGGGCGUAAAGAGCGUGUAGGCGGCCUGUUAAGUCUUGCGUGAAAUCUCGGGGCUCAACCCCGAGCGGUCGUGAGAAACUGGCAGGCUAGAGUGCGGGAGAGGAGAGUGGAAUUCCUGGUGUAGCGGUGAAAUGCGCAGAUAUCAGGAAGAACACCCGUGGCGAAGGCGGCUCUCUGGAACGCAACUGACGCUGAGACGCGAAAGCGUGGGAAGCAAACAGG